UACAAAUGUCGGCGGUCAAUCCAUC
rnacentral:sRNA from 1 species